CACAUUUCAGGUGGAAACAGCAAGCCUGGGUUCCAGUCCACCUACUAAGGCUCCAUGAGGCUGUCUGUACAUUUUUGCAGACACCCACCUCCCUCAUCGCCAUGGGUGUUUUAGAGCGAGUUCCCAGUACCUCAGGGACUCUGAAUGAGCGCCUGUCCCUUCUGACGCAAAGACCUACCUUCUGUGAGAUCUGUCUACAUAAGCAUCCCGCAGCUUGGCAGCGUGCUCGACAGACUUCAGGUGUACACAGAGCCAGUGGAGGGCAGGAGCCCAAGCGGGGCACGACGAGGGCCGGCCGGGCAUGGGGGACACAUGAUGAGUCUCUGGAAAAUCCAAUUUACUCCCACUUUUCACCCAUUUGGAAAAUGCCUUAUUGCCCACAAAGCAAAAUCUACCCUGCGCUCAACUCCCCGAACAAAGUGCUCACUGGUUACCGAGGAUUUAAUAAAAGUUCUUGGAAAAACCUAGCAAAUACUAGCAGAUAACAGUGAUUGCGUAUAUACUUCCUGUACAGUAGUUAAUAAUAAAGGGUUUUCCACGUGUG
rnacentral:lncRNA from 1 species